CUGAGACACGGCCCAGACUCCUACGGGAGGCAGCAGUGGGGAAUUUUGGACAAUGGGGGAAACCCUGAUCCAGCCAUGCCGCGUGAGUGAAGAAGGCCUUCGGGUUGUAAAGCUCUUUCAGCCGGAACGAAACGGUCACGGCUAAUACCUGUGACUACUGACGGUACCGGAAGAAGAAGCACCGGCUAACUACGUGCCAGCAGCCGCGGUAAUACGUAGGGUGCAAGCGUUAAUCGGAAUUACUGGGCGUAAAGCGUGCGCAGGCGGUUUUGUAAGUCAGAUGUGAAAUCCCCGGGCUUAACCUGGGGACUGCGUUUGAAACUACAAAGCUA
rnacentral:rRNA from 1 species